UUCCUGCUGUGCCUGCUCACACUGUUGGGCUCCUACAUCGAAUUACCAGCAUACCUGAAGUUUGCCCGGCCCCGGCCCGUGAGUACUCAUGUGCAUGGCUUGACCUGGGUCCUUGAUAUCCUUCAGCGGGGUCCCCUAAUCCCUGCCAAAUGCCCUCAGGCUCUCUCCUCUGCAUGGUGUGCCUGUCAGUGUACCUCAUGGGUAAGCCUUAGGACUCUGUGAAAGUGGCAUGGUAAGAUGUCUAUUUACACUGGGCGUGAGUGGGUUACUCAGGGAGAAGGGCCGGGUGCCUUCUCAGGCCUCAUCCUUAACUUGAUUCCUUCUUUGGAAUCGAGCAAGAUGAAUGGAUAGUCAAGACCAAGAAACGAAGACCAUCCACUGAGGAAAAGUGUGGUGGCCUUAGCUGGUUACAAUACACACAGCUCUACCAUGGUUGCCUUUCAUAGUCCCGACUCUGGUCCUUGAAGGAUGGGACUGCUGGAAGGUGGGGAUACUGGGGAGUUAGAAGACCCGUGUUGUGGUCCCAGCUCUGCAGACAUGAACAUCCCGUGUUCCUUUCACUGAGCAUAGUCAAUGGGGGAAUGGCUGGGGGCUUGGGUGGAGACCCUUCCAAGGAAGGGCCACUCGGAACCUGCUUGUGGGUCUUCAUGCUUCCUCUUGGUCCACCUUAGGGUCCUUCUAAGGUACCCUUGAUGACACUGCAGCUGCUGGACUUCUGUUUGAGCAUCCUGACCCUGUGCAGCUCCUAUAUGGAAGUGCCCACCUACCUUAACUUCAAGUCCAUGAACCACAUGAAUUACCUGCCGAGUCAGGAGGGCAUGCCACGCAGCCAGUUCAUCAACAUGAUGCUCAUCUUUUCAGUGGCCUUUAUCACCGUGCUCAUCCUGAAGGUCUACAUGUUCAAGUGUGUUUGGACAUGCUACAGAUUCAUGAAGCACAUGAAUUCGGCCGUGGAGGACAGCAGUUCCAAGCUGUUCCUAAAGGUGAGUCUGACAGGGCUACCACUCUCUUGCUGUGUUGCUUGAGGCCAGUUCCCUUCCUUCUCUGAGCCUCAGCACUUAUUUUUCAACAUAAUAUUUUUAUUGAUUGGGACUAUUGUGUGAGUUUGGGAAUCUCAUACAAUGUACCCUGAUGAUGCCCAUUUCCCACUUCUCCCAGGUCUACUCUCCCACCAUUGUGCCCUCCCACCACAAAAAAAUCCACCAAGUUCUAUUUGUGCUGCCCACACACUCAUUGGAGCAUGGUCAAACUCCCAGCAGGUCUCAGUACUUGUAAGAAAAUUGUUGGACCAGAAGAAAUGUGAACAACAUCAGCUAUGACAGUCUAAGAUUCCAUCCAUCUAUCCAUCCAUCACCCACCCCACCCAUCGUCCAUUCAUCUAUUCAUUUAUCCAUCUAUCCACCUACUCAUCCAUCAUUUAUCUAUCUACCUACCUACUCAUAACCCAUCGUCCAAUCAUUAUCCAUGCAUGCGUCCAUCUGUCCAUCUAUCCAUUCAUCUACCUAUCCAUUCAGC
rnacentral:lncRNA from 1 species